rnacentral:rRNA from 1 species
CCUACGGGAGGCAGCAGUGGGGAAUAUUGCACAAUGGGCGAAAGCCUGAUGCAGCGACGCCGCGUGAGGGAUGACGGCCUUCGGGUUGUAAACCUCUUUUCAGCAGGGAAGAAGCGAGAGUGACGGUACCUGCAGAAGAAGCGCCGGCUAACUACGUGCCAGCAGCCGCGGUAAUACGUAGGGCGCAAGCGUUGUCCGGAAUUAUUGGGCGUAAAGAGCUCGUAGGCGGCUUGUUGCGUCGGUUGUGAAAGCCCGGGGCUUAACCCCGGGUCUGCAGUCGAUACGGGCAGGCUAGAGUGUGGUAGGGGAGAUCGGAAUUCCUGGUGUAGCGGUGAGAUGCGCAGAUAUCAGGAGGAACACCGGUGGCGAAGGCGGAUCUCUGGGCCAUUACUGACGCUGAGGAGCGAAAGCGUGGGGAGCGAACAGGAUUAGAUACCCGUGGUAGUCCACGCCGUAAACGUUGGGAACUAGGUGUUGGCGACAUUCCUACGUCGUCGUGUCGCGNGUCUACGACAUAACGUUACCCGUCCGUCGGGUAGGUACGGCCGCGAACGACGUAAACCGUACGUAAAGGUAAGUUAGUUACGGACGUGUUAGACGUAGCCGACGGACGACGACGAGGGAGGAGG